AAGCAACGCGAAGAACCUUACCAGGCCUUGACAUGCAGAGAACUUUCCAGAGAUGGAUUGGUGCCUUCGGGAACUCUGACACAGGUGCUGCAUGGCUGUCGUCAGCUCGUGCCGUGAGAUGUUGGGUUAAGUCCCGUAACGAGCGCAACCCUUGUCCUUAGUUACCAGCACGUUAUGGUGGGCACUCUAAGGAGACUGCCGGUGACAAACCGGAGGAAGGUGGGGAUGACGUCAAGUCAUCAUGGCCCUUACGGCCUGGGCUACACACGUGCUACAAUGGUCGGUACAAAGGGUUGCCAAGCCGCGAGGUGGAGCUAAUCCCAUAAAACCGAUCGUAGUCCGGAUCGCAGUCUGCAACUCGACUGCGUGAAGUCGGAAUCGCUAGUAAUCGUGAAUCAGAAUGUCACGGUGAAUACGUUCCUGGGCCUU
rnacentral:rRNA from 1 species